CUCCUGAGCUCAAGCAGUCUGCCUGCCUAGACCGCCCAAAGUGCUGAGUUUACAGGUGCGAGCCACCACAGCCAGCCUAUAAAGUAAACGUGAAUAUCUAAGGAACACUGAUGCAAGACCAGCAUGUGGGACCCCAUAUUAAGGUUUCCACCCACCUCCCUGAAAUCUGAUUUGGACCCCCAGGAGGCCAGAAGAGUAUAAAAACGCAAAAGAUGUUGACUUCUGAGUCCCACAUACCCGGCGUCAGCUGGUGAAUGAAAGACACGAAGGAGCUGCUGUGGAGCUGCUGUCUCCCCUCGGAGUUUGGCAGGCCCGGGAUUCCGCAAAGGAGUUGGCGGGGCCAGAUGCCUCCAGCCCUGAGCUCAGUACAUUCGGUGUCCUGGAUGCUCCCUUCCUUUCCUUAUCACUGCGAGCUCUCCUGGGACGGCCUAGAUUUCCACUGGGACCUACUUUCGGCUCCCUGCGUGCUUCAUUGCUGAAACUGCCGGCGAAAAGAUCUCUUUCUCAAGCCUCAGAGCACCUUGAGGCGGGGCGCAGAGUCGCCCGCUCUGGAUCCCGCGCCAGAGACCCAGGAGGAUCCGCAGGAGCCCUCGGGAGAGCAGGAGGCUGCAUAGGGUCUCAACGUACUCCCGUCCCCGCAGCCUCCCUCGCAACUCGCCCCUCGCUCGGUAGGCAGACAACUCCAGCCGGACAGGUCCGUCCGAGGAGACCUUUCAGAGUGUCAGCCUACUGCUGACCUCGGAGCCACCAACCAAAGUUCCAAGACUGCUGGCUGCAGAUUGCAUGCUCUUGGGGCAGACGCCCUAAGAAUGUGUCCACCGAGUCCAAUGUGUCUUUGGAGUCCUGAGCCCUGAGAUUUCCGCUAAGACCUUCCAUUGGACGAUCUCUUGUAACAGAUGUUGUUACAGUAACACGUGAGUUCGCUCAAAUGCGAUGGAAGUUUUGCCUUUCGAUCAUUUUGUGCCUUUGUCUUUCCCCUUCUCAAUAAAAUCGUACACAAAUGUGAAA
rnacentral:lncRNA from 1 species